GCAACACCACCCCUAUUUCUUUGCUGCGCCCCUCCUCCGCUGCUGCCAUUGGAGCAGCUCCACCACCAGGCCAGCUGAGUUACUCCAGCCGUUCACUCACCAUCAUCAACCUUCUUCUUCCUUUCCCUUCCUCUGUUCUAAUUCUGCUUCCCAGGUUGCUUUGGAGUAGGAGUAGUACAAGUUCAUAGCACCACCAUCACUCUUGCAGCCAAUUUUGUAUGGUGAGACAAUGACGACUCCUUCCACUCCGCAUGAUCGUGAGCACCAAGGACGGUGCUACAUCUUAAGUGUGGGGAGGUUGCCCAACUUCACCAGCGCAUUUUGGGUGACAAGCUUCAUUUCCGAACACUUUUAGUUUAGUUUCUUUGUAUGCUUUUUAGUUGUUUUCUAUAUAUUUUAUCUUUUGAAAACCUUUUUACUUAGUUAUUGCACUUUCUUAGUUUAUUGCACUUUUUAAUUUUGCUUGUACAUAACUUAGUAUUAUAUAGUAGUUAUGCAUAUUUUGACAUUUUGCUCUUAAUUUUGGCUUGUACAUAUGUUCUUUUUGGUUUUUAGUCUUGAUUGUGAUUUGGGAUGAUGUGAUGAUUGCACCUAAGUUUGGUUUCCUAUAUACUUGUUAUUUUGGUUUGAUUGAAAUUAGGAAUUAAACUUAGGAUUUUUUACCUUUUUUCAUCCAAUCACACUAUAUACAUAUAUAGAAUAAGUGUUAGUCAAAUUAAUGAAAUUUCCAAGAAGCUUACUUUUUAUUUAGGCCAUUGAAAUUCAAAUUGAAUUGAGUUUAAAAAUUUCAUUGAAACUUGCAUGAUUUAUACAUUGGGGAAUAUGGUUUUUGAGUUAAAGAACAUACAACUUGUGAGUUUUUGAGCUUUAUUGUGUGGUUACAUCAUUUAACCACUUAUCUCAUUCUUGUGUGUUGCUCUUCUCUAUGAUUGCAAUCCUUGGUUUGUUUAAGUCUAUAUAUCCAUUGUUUAAUGUAUUUUUAUGCAUUUAUGUGAUUGAGGGCAUCAUUUCUUUAUAGCUCACUUUACCCAAAUAGCCUACCAUUUCAUUCACCUUUGUUUGCCACUUUGAGCCUUUUUAAUCUUUUUUUGUUCUUUAUUUUGCCACAUCAUUAAUCUUAAGCGAAAAACAAUGAAAUGUCCUUUAUUUGAAUCUUUGAGUAGUUUAAGGUAGUGAGAGUGUGUGAUGUUUAAGUGUGGGGAAGAUUUGGGAACAUUGGUAGAUAAAAAUGUGUUUUAUUCUUUGUUGAAAAAUAAUGGAAAUUUGGGGUACAUGCUCAUGUAAGACUAUGGAAACCAUAUGCAUUGAUGAGUUGGUGUAUAUAUUAUGUUAAAAAAAAGAAAAAAAAAAGAAAAGAAAAACAAAAAUGAAAAAGGGGACAAAAUUACCCCAAUGAGAAAUUCAAUAAUAAUCAAUGCAUAUGUGAUUGAAGUAACUUUGAUGCAUGAGUGUGUGUGUUAGGUUGUGUGUGUGUUAGGUGAUAAUCUAUGCUAAUCAAAGAUUCAAAUGCAAGCUCACCUAGCUAUAUAUACAUCCUUACUUUUAAGCUUAGCCACAUUACAACCUUGAAAAGACCUCAUGAUUUUUGCAUAUGUACAUUAAAUUUCUGUUGAUUGGUUAAAUGAAGAACAAACUUUAGAAAGCAUGAUUAGAGGAGAAUUGAGUGGAUUGACCCUUAGACACUUGAGUGAUUAGAGUGCAUACACAUAUCCGUUGAAGGUUCAAUUACUCAAUUCCAUAUUUUCAUCUAUGAACAUUGUUAUCUUGCAAGUUUUCUUAAAUUCUUUUUAUAUGACUCAAUUCAAUUGUGAAUGUUAUUUGGUUAUAGUUGCUUUAGCCCUUGGUUGUAUAUAGAUGCUUUCUUGGAUAUUGAUUUACUUGGACUAAUUAAAUACAUAUAUAGUUAGAUAGUAUAGUUAUAUACAUAUAGGUAGAUUGCAUAUAGUUAGUUACAUUGAAUAAUUGUUGAUCCCCCGUCUUCUCUUCCUUUGGUAUAGCAUGGGGACAUGCUAUUGUUUAAGUGUGGGGAUGUGUUGAAUCCACAUUUUAUGGUGUUUAUUUGCUCUAUUUGGGUGGAUUUCAUCAACUUUUCUUGUAUUUAUCCAUUGAAAUAGCAUAGUUUCAUAAUUUCUCCCUAAAUUGUGCUUGAAAGUGAAAAUAUGCUUUUUAAGCUUUAUAAUUGCUAAAUUUUAUUCACUUUAAUUCCAUUUGAUGUCUUGAUGUGUUUGUUGAGUAAUUUCAGGCUUACAAGGCAAGUAUAGAUUGAAGAAGUGGAAGGAAAGCAUGCAAAAUGGGAGAAUUCAAGAAAUAAAGGAUUUGUAAAGCUGCCAGUCCUGACUUCUCGGUACUAAAGUGAUCAUAACUUGAGCUACAGAGGUCCAAAUGAGGCAGUUCUAGCGGCAUUGGAAAGCUAACGUCCGGGGCUUCAAAAUGAUAUACAAUUUGCUAUAGUGGACAUAAGUCUAAGUGUGCGGACACAAACAAUUUGUGUGUACGCACAAGUUAGAAAAUAGCAAGUGUGCGGACGCACACAUCUGUGCGUCCGCACAAGUCCUGGCACGUGAGCUCAUUAAUUGCAAACUGCUGGGGGCGAUUUCUGAGCCCCUAAAACCCAAUCCAACUCAUUUCUGAAGCUAUUUCAAGCCAAAUUGAAGAGGGAUGAGGGGGGAGCACUUAGGUUUAUGUUUUUACAUGUUUUCGUUAGUUUUCUAAAGAGAGAAGCUCCCCCUUCUCUCUAGAAUUAGGGUUUUUAUCUUCAUUAUCUCUUUAAUUUCUCUCUUUAAUUCUUGUUUUAUUGUAGUUUCAUUUACAUUUUCAUGUUCUAUUGCUUUUAAUCUCUUAGUUUCCUUUGUUAAUUUCACUUUCAU